rnacentral:rRNA from 1 species
UAAGACGAAGGGGGCUAGCGUUGUUCGGAAUUACUGGGCGUAAAGCGAGUGUAGGUGGUUGUCCAAGUUGGAUGUGAAAGCCUUGAGCUCAACUCAAGAAAUGCAUUCAGGACUGGGCGGCUAGAGGACCGGAGAGGAUAGUGGAAUUCCCAGUGUAGUGGUGAAAUACGUAGAGAUUGGGAAGAACACCAGUGGCGAAGGCGGCUAUCUGGACGGUUUCUGACACUAAGACUCGAAAGCGUGGGGAGCAAACAGGAUUAGAUACCCUGGUAGUCCACGCCGUAAACGAUGGAUGCUAGCCGUUGGUGGGUUUACCCUUCAGUGGCGCAGCUAACGCAUUAAGCAUCCCGCCUGGGGAGUACGGUCGCAAGAUUA